ensembl:snoRNA
UGUGUCAGUGAUGACAACUUGGCUCCCUCUACUGAACCCUGUGAGGAGAUUGCCUUUGUUACCCAAUUUUGAUCUGAGAUGCA